UACAGAGGUCCCAAGCGUUGUUCGGAUUCACUGGGCGUAAAGGGUGCGUAGGUGGCAGGGUAAGUUUGAUGUGAAAUCUCCGAGCUUAACUCGGAAACUGCAUUGAAUACUAUCCUGCUCGAGGAUUGGAGGGGGAGCUGGAAUUCUCGGUGUAGCAGUGAAAUGCGUAGAUAUCGAGAGGAACACCAGUGGCGAAGGCGAGUCCCUGGACAAUACCUGACACUGAGGCACGAAAGCUAGGGGAGCAAACAGG
rnacentral:rRNA from 1 species